UGGUUCUGGCAUCGAUGAAGAACGCAGCGAAAUGCGAUAAGUAAUGUGAAUUGCAGAAUUCAGUGAAUCAUCGAAUCUUUGAACGCACAUUGCGCCCCUUGGUAUUCCGAGGGGCAUGCCUGUUCGAGCGUCAUUUCAAACUUCAAGCUUCUGCUUGGUAUUGAGCGUCUCGCUUUUCGAAAGAGAAGCGCGCUCGAAACUCGUGGGCGGUGAUGUCCAGCGUCGUAGCGUAGUCAUAAACCAUUCCGCUUCCGAUCGCUUCUGGACGCUCACCCGCCGGGCGAACCAAAAAAAAGGCACCGAAAGGUUCCUUUUUUACUUUCUCCAAGUUUGACCUCGGAUCAGGUAGGGAUACCCGCUGA
rnacentral:misc_RNA from 1 species